AUUGAACGCUGGCGGCAUGCCUUACACAUGCAAGUCGAACGGCCGCACGGGAGCAAUCCUGGUGGCGAGUGGCGAACGGGUGAGUAAUAUAUCGGAACGUGCCCAGUCGUGGGGGAUAACGUAGCGAAAGCUACGCUAAUACCGCAUACGAUCUAGGGUUGAAAGCGGGGGAUCGCAAGACCUCGCGCGAUUGGAGCGGCCGAUAUCAGGUUAGGCAGUUGGUGCGGUAAAGGCUCACCAAGCCGACGAGCUGUAGCUGGUCUGACAGGACGACCAGCCCGACUGGCAAUGAGACACGGUCCAGACUCCUGCGCGAGGCAGCAGUGAGCAAUGUUGGACAAUGAGCGCAAGCCUGAUCCAGCAAUGCCGCGUGCAGGAUGAAGGCCUUCGGGUUGUUUACUGCUUUUGUGAGGAGCGAAACGGUGAGCUCUAAUACAGUUUGCUAAUGACGGUACCGCAAGUAUCAGAACCGGCUAACUACCUGCCAGCCGCCGCAGUAA
rnacentral:rRNA from 1 species